rnacentral:rRNA from 1 species
AACGAACGUUGGCGGCGUGGAUGAGGCAUGCAAGUCGAACGUGAAAACCUUCGGGUGAGUAGCGUGGCGGACGGGCGAGUAACACGUAAUCAAGCUACCUGCCAGACGGGGACAACUUUGGGAAACCGAUGAUAAAACCCGAUGGUCUCACGACAUCGCAUGGUGAUGUGAGUAAAUGGACGGGACCCUCCGGGGCCGUCUGCUGGCAGAGGUGAUUGCGGCCCAUCAGCUUGUUGGUAGGGUAAUGGCCUACCAAGGCUACGACGGGUAGCCGGCCUAAGAGGGUGGUCGGUCGCACUGGGACUGAGACACUGCCCAA